GACAAACAUUGAGCUCUCAAGCAGAGGAGAUGGGAAGACCUCCAGGUUUGUUUGGAAGCAGCUGGAAGAAAUAGGUCCACCUGGAGAAUCGAUUUCAAACAUCGAGUCUUUCUGUAAUGGAACGUUUUUAAUGGGGAAGGCCGGAAUGCGAAGAGAAUCCAGCACUCUGUGGGAAAAGUCAAUAAGACCAGCAGACCUACAAAGACAGAAGACACUAAAAAAGGUGGGAUUAGUAAAUGUAAAUUAACAGUAAACUUGAAGAAAGAUGAACUAACUUGAAUCUAGUGUUGGACAGCAUUGGGGGACGGCGUGAGACAAUGGGCUCGACGUCCUCCAGGCCGAGGCUGCGUAGAGUAGCUCCAAGCAACAGCCGGCAAGACGACGAGCCCCAAGCCGAACCGCGAUGGACGCUCCCCGCUCUGCCCGUCACGCCGGAGCAGCCAGCAGGACUUUUGGGACAGAGGAAGACGACGUUACCGCCACAGAGACAAGACAUGACCAUUUCCACCCCCUCCGGGAGGACUCCUGGAGGCCCUGAAUCAACCGACGUGCCAUAGAGCAAAGACAUAAAGUGAUCUUCUCAGUUGGUGGUUUACCCUGUCGCGCACAAAUACUGAAGACCACCAGAGGCGGAGACCCACACGAGGGACAUCUUCUGGGACAACACCAAGGGAGAAAGUUUGGACCCCAAAAGUUCUGCCUCAACCCUUUGAACAGAGACGGUCCAACCAGCCGAGCAAACAGCACGAGUGUUGUGGGGAUCAGAUCAAGGUCUUCAAGAAACAAGAGAGGAAAGACGGUCUUCAGACAAAACACUUGACAGGGACAACUGAAAGGGAAGUAGUGAGAAAAGAAGACCGGGGUACACUUGGUUUUGGUGCCGGUCUGAGCGGCUGUCAGACAGCGUUAUUAAAAUAUUAAAAUGUGUUAAAGGGAUCAGGG
ensembl:lncRNA